ensembl:snRNA U6 U6 spliceosomal RNA
GUUUCCUCCAAUGGUAACAUACUACAAUUGGAACAACACAGAGAAGACUAGCAUGGCCCCUGCGAAAAGAUGACACGCAAAUUUGUGAAGUGUCCAUAUUUUUU